rnacentral:rRNA from 1 species
GAUGAACGCUGGCGGCGUGCCUAAUACAUGCAAGUCGAGCGAACAGACGAGGAGCUUGCUUCUCUGACGUUAGCGGCGGACGGGUGAGUAACACGUGGAUAACCUACCUAUAAGACUGGGAUAACUUCGGGAAACCGGAGCUAAUACCGGAUAAUAUAUUGAACCGCAUGGUUCAAUAGUGAAAGACGGUUUUGCUGUCACUUAUAGAUGGAUCCGCGCCGCAUUAGCUAGUUGGUAAGGUAACAGCUUACCAAGGCAACGAUGCGUAGCCGACCUGAGAGGGUGAUCGGCCACACUGGAACUGAGACACGGUCCAGACUCCUACGGGAGGCAGCAGUAGGGAAUCUUCCGCAAUGGGCGAAAGCCUGACGGAGCAACGCCGUGUGAGUGAUGAAGGUCUUCGGAUCGUAAAACUCUGUUAUUAGGGAAGAACAAAUGUGUAAGUAACUAUGCACGUCUUGACGGUACCUAAUCAGAAAGCCACGGCUAACUACGUG